GAUGAACGCUGGCGGCGGGCCUAAUACAUGCAAGUCGAGCGAACAGACGGGGAGCGUUCGCCUCUGAGGGUGGCGACUGACGGGUGAGUGAGACGUGCAUAACCUACCUAUAAUACUUGGGUGACUUCGUGGGACCGCUUCUAAUACUGGAUAAUAUGUCGUACGGGAGGGUUCAAGAGUUCAUGACAGCUUUCGUGUCUCUUAGAGAUGAAGUCGGGUCGCAUUAGCUAGUUGGUAAGGUAACGGCUUACCAAGGCAACGAUGCGUAGCCGACCUGAGAGGAUGAUCGGCCACACUGGAACUGAGACACGGUCCAGACUCCUACGGGAGGCAGCAGUAGGGAAUCUUGCGCAAUGGGCGCAAGCCUGACGGAGCCACGCCGCGUGAGUGAUGAAGGUCUUCGGAUCGUAAAACUCUGCUAUUAGGGAAGAAAAACUGUGUAAGUAACUACGCCCGUCUUGACGGUACCUAAUCAGAAAGCACCGGCUAACUACGUG
rnacentral:rRNA from 1 species